rnacentral:rRNA from 1 species
AACGAACGCUGGCGGCAUGCCUAACACAUGCAAGUCGAACGAGACCUUCGGGUCUAGUGGCGCACGGGUGCGUAACGCGUGGGAAUCUGCCCUUGGGUUCGGAAUAACUCAGAGAAAUUUGAGCUAAUACCGGAUGAUGACGUAAGUCCAAAGAUUUAUCGCCCAAGGAUGAGCCCGCGUAAGAUUAGGUAGUUGGUGGGGUAAAAGCCUACCAAGCCGACGAUCUUUAGCUGGUCUGAGAGGAUGAUCAGCCACACUGGGACUGAGACACGGCCCAGACUCCUACGGGAGGCAGCAGUGGGGAAUAUUGGACAAUGGGCGAAAGCCUGAUCCAGCAAUGCCGCGUGAGUGAUGAAGGCCCUAGGGUUGUAAAGCUCUUUUACCCGGGAUGAUAAUGACAGUACCGGGGGAAUAAGCCCCGGCUAACUCCGUGCCAGCAGCCGCCGUAA